CUUUAUCUUAAACUUAGGAAUGCUAUUUUUUUAGAACAAGAGAUUGUCUUUCUCCAACUCUUACUGAUAGUGGUGUUAGAUAAACUUAAUCUCGAUUUUUUCUGCAAUUAAUUGAUACUGAAAAUCAUGAUGCCAAUUGAACUGAGGACCUUUAUCAGCUUGAUGUGAUAUGUGAGGCAAGAUUCAUGAGUCACAACCACACGCAACCUUGGUUACAAGUUGCAACCGUUUGCCGGCGCGAUACAGUUUUGCUGAUGCACGUCUCUCUGCGUAUAUUGUUCGUGCAGUAGCAGCAGUCAAAUGAUGAAACAUCUUUGAUUCCAUUGCAAACCAGUACGUUUCGUUGCUUCCAUCGUACUCGAGACAUCGACGACCACAGCACAUAAUACAGAAAAUCAAACAGAUUGUAGAUGGUAAUACAGAAAGUCACAACAAUUCCCAUUUCGGUGAUCGUCGGCAGACCAGCCCCCUGCCAUUCGACCCGAUACCCUUGUUGGGCCGGGCUUGGGCAGCCAUUUGGCCCGACUCAGAUUAGUAUUUUUUGGCCCGGCCCGAGCCCGCUCUGAUGUGAGGAGCGGGAGCUAUGAGCUUGUCAUGUUUCUCCUCUCUCUCUCUAAAAAAAAGAAGUUUGUCAUGUACUCUUCAAUUCAGCAUCUGAUGGCGAUGCAAUGGUUCUGUUUCUGUCCUGCAGGCUACCGGUACAGCAAGCACGAUCACUCGAACGUACUGCACUACAACGAUCAAUCAUCUCUCACGUCGCAUCCAAUCCGACUGACGACUGAAGAACACAUACCGUGUGCUGCUGAACGUACUGACAUAGAUGCGCGAGCUCACUCUCAAGUCUCACCUGGGUAGCCGAGCUAGACCCGACCACACACGUGUGGCCUCUUCUCCGAGGCUUGCAGCUCCUGCGAGCGCGUCGCUGCCACACGAUGCUCUCUUUUCGUAAUCGUCCAAAGAGAGGCCUACACUUUUCGCAAGCUGUGGUGGCCAUGAUGCUCCAUUUCCUAGGCGGCCUGAGCUUGAAAAUGGUGGAAGGGCCCUGGAUUGAUUCCGGAGCGAGGUAGAUGCAAAGGAGCCUCAAUUAUUGACCACACUAGGCCUAUUUCAUUCUACUCGUCCGAAUGGCAUCUACUGUACACCACAACAGUGCUUGUUUUGUCCUGUCUUGUUUCCAUGUCGAGCUUUGUUUGCUUCGUCUGUGUUGUCGACCAGAACUCAUCGCUUCGGAGUUCAGACUUGUAAGCACUAUUUUUUUUUUC